AAUCAACGCUGGCGGCGUGCCUCAGACAUGCAAGUCGAACGCGAAAGUCCCCUUCGGGGGACAAGUAGAGUGGCGCACGGGUGAGUAACACGUAGGUAAUCUACCUUCGGAUGGGGAAUAACAACCGGAAACGGGUUGCUAAUACCGCAUAAUGCAGCGGCACCUAAUGGUGACAGUUGUUAAAGCGGGGGAUCGAAAGACCUCGGCGUCUGAAGAGGAGCCUGCGGCGGAUUAGCUAGNGGUAAGGUAAUGGCUUACCAAGGCGACGAUCCGUAGCCGGCCUGAGAGGGCGGUCGGCCACACUGACACUGACAUACGGGUCAGACUCCUACGGGAGGCAGCAGUCGGGAAUUUGGGCAAUGGGCGAAAGCCUGACCCAGCAACGCCGCGUGAAGGAUGAAAUCCC
rnacentral:rRNA from 1 species